GACUCAGUUUAAAUAUUUGUUCAGGAUGACCAUCCAUACCUGAGACCUUAUGAAUUCUGCAGCUGACUUUCAGGAAAUUUCUUCAGGAAAUUUCUGCAAGAACAAAGGAGCACAGCUAUUCAGUGUGGAAGUUUCUUUGGCAGUUUUUAUCUGCUUAAUAGUUGUUCUGCCACUCGUCAGUGCUGAAGGCUAUGCUUUCACUGGGGUAUAACAAGAUGGUGGACUCCUGUCUGCACUACUCCAUACCACUGGUCAGGGUUCUGAAAAAAUGGGACACAGCCUUGACUGGCUCUCAGCCUGCCAUGCGGGAACAUGGAAGGAAGAGUACAGAUGGGCUAGGAGUGGACUGCUGGGCACUCUGGGAAUCUAUCCCCAACACAAGGUUUCUCUGUAAACCAAGAGGACAUUCUCAGACCAUCAGUCAGACAAUAUGCCAGUUGGAGCUGGCAUCUGAAUGGACUGUGACAGAUGAGUCUGAUCCCUACUCCACCAGUGCCUUUGAAAAGAAACAAGAAAUUCUAAUGAAGGCUUAGAAUGGAGGAUUUACCUUCUUAAUUUGAGAGUACUUCUGGAAGAAUCAAGCUCAAGUUGCACAUACUGGUGAAAGUGUCUGUAAGAACUUCAAUGCCCUUGCAAAAGUCAUAGUAUCUGGUUCACACAAGAUUAAUCCACAAGAAAAUAAUGAUGAUAUAUAAAGUAUAUUAAAGCUCUAAACAAAGAACUUCCUUUACAUAACAAGACCUCCAGAUAGGCUUAAGGUAAGUAAUAAAAACCAACAAAAUAAAAUUAAAUGCUUUCCA
rnacentral:lncRNA from 1 species